GGUCAUGGCUCAGGAUGAACGCUAGCUACAGGCUUAACACAUGCAAGUCGAGGGGCAGCAUGGUCUUAGCUUGCUAAGACUGAUGGCGACCGGCGCACGGGUGAGUAACACGUAUCCAACCUGCCGUCUACUCUUGGACAGCCUUCUGAAAGGAAGAUUAAUACAAGAUGGCAUCAUGAGUCCGCAUGUUCACAUGAUUAAAGGUAUUCCGGUAGACGAUGGGGA
rnacentral:rRNA from 1 species